rnacentral:snRNA from 1 species
AAGCAUUGUGUGAACUACAACAU